rnacentral:rRNA from 1 species
AACGAACGUUGGCGGCGUGGAUUAGGCAUGCAAGUCGAACGGGGUUGGAGCAAUCCAACCUAGUGGCGAACGGGUGAGUAGCGCGUGGGAAACCUGCCCUUGAGACGGGGAUAACACUUCCAACGAGGUGCUAAUACCGGAUAAGACCCCAGGGUCGCAUGGCCCGGUGGUUAAAUGAUGGCCUCUGCUUGCAAGCUAUCGCUCGAGGAUGGUCCCGCGUCCCAUUAGCUUGUUGGUGAGGUAACGGCUCACCAAGGCUUCGAUGGGUAGCUGGUCUGAGAGGAUGGUCAGCCACACUGGGACUGAGAUACGGCCCAGACUCCUACGGGAGGCUG